AAUGAACGCUGGCGGCGUGCCUAAUACAUGCAAGUCGAGCGAACGGACGAGAAGCUUGCUUCUCUGAUGUUAGCGGCGGACGGGUGAGUAACACGUGGAUAACCUACCUAUAAGACUGGGAUAACUUCGGGAAACCGGAGCUAAUACCGGAUAAUAUUUUGAACCGCAUGGUUCAAAAGUGAAAGACGGUCUUGCUGUCACUUAUAGAUGGAUCCGCGCUGCAUUAGCUAGUUGGUAAGGUAACGGCUUACCAAGGCAACGAUGCAUAGCCGACCUGAGAGGGUGAUCGGCCACACUGGAACUGAGACACGGUCCAGACUCCUACGGGAGGCAGCAGUAGGGAAUCUUCCGCAAUGGGCGAAAGCCUGACGGAGCAACGCCGCGUGAGUGAUGAAGGUCUUCGGAUCGUAAAACUCUGUUAUUAGGGAAGAACAUAUGUGUAAGUAACUGUGCACAUCUUGACGGUACCUAAUCAGAAAGCCACGGCUAACUACGUGCCAGCAGCCGCGGUAAUACGUAGGUGGCAAGCGUUAUCCGGAAUUAUUGGACGUAAAGCGCGCGUAGGCGGUUUUUUAAGUCUGAUGUGAAAGCCCACGGCUCAACCGUGGAGGGUCAUUGGAAACUGGAAAACUUGAGUGCAGAAGAGGAAAGUGGAAUUCCAUGUGUAGCGGUGAAAUGCGCAGAGAUAUGGAGGAACACCAGUGGCGAAGGCGAUUUUCUGGUCUGUAACUGACGCUGAUGUGCGAAAGCGUGGGGAUCAAACAGGAUUAGAUACCCUGGUAGUCCACGCCGUAAACGAUGAGUGCUAAGUGUUAGGGGGUUUCCGCCCCUUAGUGCUGCAGCUAACGCAUUAAGCACUCCGCCUGGGGAGUACGACCGCAAGGUUGAAACUCAAAGGAAUUGACAGGGACCCGCACAAGCGGUGGAGCAUGUGGUUUAAUUCGAAGCAACGCGAAGAACCUUACCAAAUCUUGACAUCCUUUGACAACUCUAGAGAUAGAGCCUUCCCCUUCGGGGGACAAAGUGACAGGUGGUGCAUGGUUGUCGUCAGCUCGUGUCGUGAGAUGUUGGGUUAAGUCCCGCAACGAGCGCAACCCUUAAGCUUAGUUGCCAUCAUUAAGUUGGGCACUCUAAGUUGACUGCCGGUGACAAACCGGAGGAAGGUGGGGAUGACGUCAAAUCAUCAUGCCCCUUAUGAUUUGGGCUACACACGUGCUACAAUGGACAAUACAAAGGGCAGCGAAACCGCGAGGUCAAGCAAAUCCCAUAAAGUUGUUCUCAGUUCGGAUUGUAGUCUGCAACUCGACUACAUGAAGCUGGAAUCGCUAGUAAUCGUAGAUCAGCAUGCUACGGUGAAUACGUUCCCGGGUCU
rnacentral:rRNA from 1 species